rnacentral:lncRNA from 10 species
UGCCACGAAGCUCCAAUUCAUAUUCUAGCCAGGCAAGCCUGCCCACUGCUCUCUGUCUUUGCUUCAUCUCCUAUACCCUUGUGCUUUGCUGUGGUAAAGAUAGCUAAUGUCCUUUCCAUAGUGUAGCGUUGUUGCUGAGAAGCUCUGCCCAGCCAGGGCCCUCAUUUUCCAGUCCUACCCUCCCUUGCAUCCAGGUGGGACUAGUUCUUGCCGGUGGAAUAUGAGCUGAGAUGAUGUGUACCAUGUCUUGGCCAAGUGGUUAAGAAGUGGUGGCACAUACCCUGUGCUUUCUCUUUUCCCAUCUGCCCACUGGAUGUUGACACACAGGAUGAUCAUGGAAGCCACAUGUGGAAGGUGAUGGAGACUUCCAGCCUACGGCUCUGCGUGAAGCUAUGAAGCAGUCUUCCUUCAUCCACACAGCCGACCUUCCACUCCUGCCACCAAGCAGGAACAUCUGUUUUGGAUUUUAUGACCCAGAACUGGAUACCAAUUAUU